rnacentral:rRNA from 1 species
GACGAACGCUGGCGGCGUGCUUAACACAUGCAAGUCGAACGGUAAGGCCCUUCGGGGUACACGAGUGGCGAACGGGUGAGUAACACGUGGGUGAUCUGCCCUGCACUUCGGGAUAAGCCUGGGAAACUGGGUCUAAUACCGGAUAGGACCCUGGGAUGCAUGUCCUGGGGUGGAAAGCUUUUGCGGUGUGGGAUGGGCCCGCGGCCUAUCAGCUUGUUGGUGGGGUGAUGGCCUACCAAGGCGGCGACGGGUAGCCAGCCUGAGAGGGUGACCGGCCACACUGGGACGGAGAUACGGCCCAGACUCCGACGGGAGGCAGCAGUGGGGAAUAUUGCACAAUGGCGCAAGCCUGAUGCAGCGACGCCGCGUGAGGGAUGACGGCCUUCGGGUUGUAAACCUCUUUCAGCACCGACGAAGCGCAAGUGACGGUAGGUGCAGAAGAAGGACCGGCCAACUACGUGCCAGCCGCCGCCGUAA